rnacentral:rRNA from 1 species
GACGAACGCUGGCGGCGUGCUUAACACAUGCAAGUCGAACGAAGUGGCGAACGGGUGAGUAACGCGUAAUCAACCUGCCCUUCAGAGGGGGACAACAGUUGGAAACGACUGCUAAUACCGCAUACUGAAGGAGGGGAUUGCGUCGGAUUCGCUAGUUGGGGGGGUAACUGCCCAACAAGGGGAAGAUCAGUAGCCGGGCGGGGAGGGUGAACGGGCACAUUGGGACUGGGACACGGCCCAGAAUCCUGAGGGAGGCAGCAGUGGGGAAUCUUUCGCAAUGGACGAAAAGCUGACGGAGCAACGCCGCGUUAGUGAUGACGGGCUUCGGGUUGGAAAGCUCUGUUAAUCGGGACGCGGUACCGGAAUAGAAAGCCACGGCUAACUACGUGCCAGCAGCCGCGGUAAUAC